GUAGGGAGCAAGCGUUAUCCGGAUUUACUGGGCGUAAAGCGUGCGUAGGUGGUAUUUUAAGUUAGAUGUUAAAUCUGCAGGCUCAACUUGCAAACCGCAUCUAAUACUGGAGUACUUGAGACAUAGAGAGGUAAGCGGAAUUUCCGGUGUAGCAGUGAAAUGCGUAGAUAUCGGAAGGAACACCAAUGGCGAAGGCAGCUUACUGGCUAUGUUCUGACACUGAGGUACGAAAGCGUGGGGGAGCGAACAGGAUUAGAUACCCUGGUAGUCCACGCCGUAAACGAUGGAUGCUAGAUGUUGGGGGUUUCGACCCCCCCCCUUCAGUAUCGAAGCUAACGCGUUAAGCAUCCCCGCCUGGGAGUACGAUCGCAAGAUUA
rnacentral:rRNA from 1 species